CAGACUCUACUGAUUGGUGUGCUGUAAUCUGAUGAGAACCACCUGAGAGGGCUCCCCAUCAGCUCAGAGUCAAACCCAUCUGCCUCCCUUUGAUAGACCAAAGAUCUGCAAAGACCUUUUGGGGUUGGAUGCUGUUCCCUGAGCAGUGGCUGUCUGAGAUCUAUGGUGGUUCCCGGUGUGGUGGCUGGAAGUCCAGGGAUCUGAGCAUGAACAACAUCAGCCAGCUGCAGCCCAGCGCCUUCGGCCGCCUGCAAUUCCUGGAGGAGCUGGGUUAAUUGCUGCUGCAGGGUUGGGGCAGGAUGCACCUUCAGGCUACGCUGCGUGUGCCAAACACCAGAAUUUAAGAACCAGCCCAUCGUGCAAAAGUGAGCCCAGAGCAGAGCCAGAAAACGGGGAGCUUCGUUCACCGUCCGCACGCAGCUCCCCUGCACCAAAGCCACGAGAACUGCUGGGCGCGCGGCGGCUGGGCAGCGGUGGGGCUGCGGCCCCGCAGAUCAGAGCAGGGACGGCCGUCCUGCAGCGCUGUGCUCAGGCACAGCUCCGUCCCGCUCUGCAGGGAUCAGCACGAGGCUGUGUGUCAGCAGAGGAGUGGCCACGCUUCUGAAAGUGUAAAAUUAACCACCAGCAUGAGCAACCACAGCGUCCCUUGGGGGCCCGGCAGUCAGAGCCUGGAAGGGGGCAGAAGACUGAGGCCGGCCUUGUAUGGUUGUGUUCCGCUUGACCAUGAGAAAUCCCUCCGGGUGCCGUUCUCAUGCUUUUGCUCCUUUCUAUGCAAUGCCUUCUGCUGAAAAAUGCAGUUUCUUCAAAACACCAUUAUUCCAUAGCAAGAAACACUGGUGUUAUUGUUGUAUAUGAGGUACGUGAUGUAAACUUGUGGUGCAUGUAGCACUUAAAACAGUGUCUAAAUGGAGCACUUUGACUGCACUGAAUCCCCUCUCACAGCCAACGCUGCAGAUGACAGGUAUUUCUGAAAAGGGCAGGUUUCUAAAGGUUGGAUUCCUUACCAGUAACGUCAGUGUGAUGCUGAGGCAUUCGUGUAUCGCAGAGGGGCAGUAAGCGAUGCCAUCCCAUGCUCUGCCACCUGUGCUUGUGUUCAUGAAGCAGUGACUCCCAAAUCAUCAGUGCUGUGUAAUGAACAGCAGCUUCUGUGAGCAGAAGGCUUUCCCUGUGCUCACCGGUGCUGAUUUGUGGCUGCACGUUUGCAGGUGGACUCCUUGGAACAGUCGAUGUUGACCAAAAAGCCCAGAGGAGAUUCUGACACCCACUGUUCCCAUAACAGCCCCGAUCUCACAGUGAUCAAAUUGCAAUACUUUUAUUUUCAAAUGGUCUUCAAACUCAUCUUCUUCAUCUCUCUGUCUCUUGCAUUAAUUAAGCUUGCAGGGACUCCCAGCCUCCCCAUUUCCGAGCUGGGCACGACUCCUUUUUUUCGCCCUCCUGUAGCUCUGCUCUCGUGCUGCCCUCAGGAGAUGCGUUUUCCAAGGUCUUGCCUCCGUCUUGCAGCCAUUCUCUUCCCAUUUUGUCAAGCACCCAAAGCACUCACAGGUCCUCACACACAGGCUGUGCUCUCUCGUAUACAAUUAAUGGCUGUCUUGCUGCAAGCAGUCGUGUCCUGAUGACACGUCGUGCACAAACAGAACAGUCUAAACCAGCAAUGAAUAAAUAUUCAUAGACACCAAUGGAGCCAGCUUCCCACAGCCAAAAAUAAUUAUGAAUGACACAAAUCAAGAGGGAAAAUUAAACAGGAAAAUUUGAAAAAUAACUGGAAGUUGUUAAAGAACAUUUCACUGGAGUUUCCAAACGCCACAACUGCUCAUUGGGAAGGUAGAGGUGUUUUGAGUAGGAAAAAAUCACCGCCAUAAGGAGAAAUGGAAACUGUGGCGUUUUGGAUCUGCACUCAUCCAAGUUCACACUUCAAUCAUACGGUAAAACACAGAAGUCAUAGUUAUGGACAUCAAGCGAUGGAUUUGAAAUCAAGGAAGUGAGGAAAGAUUGUCUAUAAUAGGAAGAACUGAAAGUGACCCUUCCAACAACAGCACCUGGGCAGCAGCGGUGUGUGUGUUGUUCAUAGGGAUGUCAGGGCCAGCACUGCAGCUUAGCUGGCUUCUCCCUUCAGCUUUCACUUUCCUGUAAUCCUCAGAGGCAUCUCGAAGUCUCUUUGCCAUUCCUGCCCUUGAACACAUACAGAAUCACAUCGUCCUGGGAGCGACGGUGGAGCAGAACGAAAUUCCAGCCUCAGCCUCCUGUUAGACAGUGCUGACUGGGGUCUGAUACGCGAUGGCACCCAAAGG